GGAUGGGGACGGUCACCCUCCCCCCACACUGACAGGGACAUGGCAGCAGGACGCAGCCCCACCACCUCUCCUACGGGCUCCGUGGGGGCUCUGAAGGAAUGUGAGCAUUCCCACCUUGCGGGCACUGCUGUCACCGUGUGGCCAACGCACGGCACUGCCACCAACCGAGGGGAUACAUCAGAGGAUGUGUCCCAACCAGGGGCACCACGGAGACCCCAUACAGCAAAAUGAAGCAGAAAAAUACUUUAUUCACACUUCUUUUCGGUGUCGCAUCCCCCCGUCCCUCACCUAUUGUGCCCAGAACGCCCACUGGAGGACCAGGGACGCAUACUGCCCUGCAUGGAGAGGGGUCUGCCUGCUGCAGGGGUCCAUCUGUGCCCCCCAACAGCCACCGGGCCACCAGCAGGAAGGUCUGCCUGUGCCCUCACCCACUCCCUUUGUUCACAGAGAUGCAGCUCAGUCCCCACGUAGGUCACAGUUAUGAGGAGAGGCUGUGGGUGUCCAGGAGGUCCUGGGGUAUGGGGUCCACCCCCCACUCAGCCGUGAGGCCCCACAGCUCCAUCAGCACCGCUACGGCAUCUGGUCGGUCCUUCACCAUCUGCAGCAACUGCUGCAGGAGUAGGGCUGCACGCUGUGGGACGCAGACUGAGCGCGGGGCUUGGAGUGGGACCCACCCCCAGGGUCCCCCCUCAACCCAAGGAUCCAGCCCUGAGCCCAGGAACCCCUGCAGCCCCCCCUACCUGUGCCUUGCUGGGGCUUGGGGUGCUGCUGGGAAGUGCCAUCGUCACCUCAGAGUCCUGCUGGCCUUCGUUCCCCUUGAAGAGCUGCACCACCACCUUGUCCUGGGGGGAAGAGUUCCCACAGUCAGAGCACCCCCAGCACUCCAAGCCCCCACCUCUAGCUAUGGGGGGGGGGGGAGGGAAGGAAUGGAUGUGAUAUGGGGACCAAAAUGCCCCACAGCACACACUCACCCAGGAUGGGGACAGCUCGUUGUCAUCAGCAGUGUCUGCACUGGGGUCAGGCUGGGGGGUCACAGUGGUCGCCAGCGCAGGGGGGUCUCCGAGGGGACAACGCCAUCAGCACGGGCUGGGGGGACAGGUUGGGACCCCUCCCCAGUGCUCAAGCUGUCCCCCACCUUCAGGGCACGUGCCUGGGAGCUGCAAGGGGUGAAGCACGGCGUGCGGAGGGAGCACUGAGUGUUGGGGGCAGAACGCUGUGGAAUGAAAGGGGAGAGCAGAGCAGGAUGAGGGCGUGGGGGGCAGGAAGGUGUCAGAGCUGGCAUUUCCCCCCCCCCUUUUAACAUACACACCAUGUUCUUGGUGACAGAGACACGGAGAGUCAAGCCAGUGCUGGAGGAGCCUGCAGGGGGUGGGGAAGGGGGCUCAGCAACAGCACCCCCCCCUAGAGUGCAGAGUGGGGUGGGUUGGGGGGGGGGAUAGGAUGUACCUGGGGUGCCGCUCUUCUUCUUGGGGACCCUCAGCCCCAUGGAUGCACUCUCCUGGGUACGAAGGGGACCAGGCAGUGCGGUUUGGGUCCCUGCUGUACUCAGAGGGGAGGGUCCUUUGGCAGAGGGGGGGGCACGGGCGGGCACCCUGCGGGCCAAGCAGGGCCCGCGCCCCACAGCCCCCACCACAGGGGUGGCAACAGGUGAGGGGGUGACGGUGGUCUCU
ensembl:lncRNA